rnacentral:rRNA from 1 species
UACGGGGGGAGCAAGCGUUGUUCGGAUUUACUGGGCGUAAAGGGCGCGUAGGCGGCCAGCACAAGUCAGUUGUGAAAUCUCCGAGCUUAACUCGGAAAGGUCAACUGAUACUGUGCGGCUAGAGUGCGGAAGGGGCAACUGGAAUUCUUGGUGUAGCGGUGGAAUGCGUAGAGAUCGGGAAGAACACCGGUGGCGAAGGCGGCCCCCUGGACCGGUACUGACGCUGAGGCGCGAAAGCGUGGGUAGCAAACAGG